rnacentral:rRNA from 1 species
GAUGAACGCUGGCGGCGUGCCUAAUACAUGCAAGUCGAGCGAACAGACGAGGAGCUUGCUCCUCUGACGUUAGCGGCGGACGGGUGAGUAACACGUGGAUAACCUACCUAUAAGACUGGGACAACUUCGGGAAACCGGAGCUAAUACCGGAUAAUAUAUUGAACCGCAUGGUUCAAUAGUGAAAGACGGUUUUCCUGUCACUUAUAGAUGGAUCCGCGCCGCAUUAGCUAGUUGGUAAGGUAACGGCUUACCAAGGCAACGAUGCGUAGCCGACCUGAGAGGAUGAUCAGCCACACUGGAACUGAGACACGGUCCAGACUCCUACGGGAGGCAGCAGUAGGGAAUCUUCCGCAAUGGGCGAAAGCCUGACGGAGCAACGCCGCGUGAGUGAUGAAGGUCUUCGGAUCGUAAAGCUCUGUUAUUAGGGAAGAACAAAUGUGUAAGUAACUAUGCACGUCUUGACGGUACCUAAUCAGAAAGCCACGGCUAACUACGUG